rnacentral:rRNA from 1 species
CAGUCGCCGCGGUAAUACGAAGGGUGCAAGCGUUAAUCGGAAUUACUGGGCGUAAAGCGUGCGCAGGCGGUUUGUUAAGACAGAUGUGAAAUCCCCGGGCUCAACCUGGGAACUGCAUUUGUGACUGGCAAGCUAGAGUCUGGCAGAGGGGGGUGGAAUUCCGCGUGUAGCAGUGAAAUGCGUAGAUAUGCGGAGGAACACCGAUGGCGAAGGCAGCCCCCUGGGCCAACACUGACGCUCAUGCACGAAAGCGUGGGGAGCAAACAGGAUUAGAUACCCGCGUAGUCCCUGUCUCUUAUAC